AACGGUCGUUUGGCACGGCCAGUAGCCUACCUGUUCAACCAAACCUCUGGGUCGUUCCACCCGAGGGAACAGGUGGGUUGCAAAUCUUAAUAUCCCAACGCUCGGGAAUCCUCGCCCUUCAGGGCGGGGAGGAUGUCAAUUGUGUGAACUAC
rnacentral:sRNA from 1 species